AUGUACCAAUCGUACACUCCGGUUCCUGUGCGCCGUCCGCACCCACCUGACGACUGCUCGCUACGUUUUGUUAGCU
rnacentral:sRNA from 1 species